rnacentral:rRNA from 1 species
AUUGAACGCUGGCGGAAUGCCUUACACAUGCAAGUCGAACGGCAGCACGGGGGCAACUCUGGUGGCGAGUGGCGAACGGGUGAGUAAUACAUCGGAACGUGCCCAGUCGUGGGGGAUCACGCAGCGAAAGCUGUGCUAACACCGCAGACGAGCUAUGGAUGAAAGCGGGGGACCGUAAGGCCUCGUGCGGUUGCAGCGGCCGGUGGCAGAUGAGGUAGUUGGUGGGGUAAAGGCUCACCAAGCCGACGAUCUGUAGCUGGUCUGAGAGGACGACCAGCCACACUGGGACUGAGACACGGCCCAGACUCCUACGGGAGGCAGCAGUGGGGAAUUUUGGACAAUGGGCGCAAGCCUGAUCCAGCCAUUCCGCGUGCAGGGUGAAGGCGCUCGGGUUGUAAACUGCUUUUGUACGGAACGAAAAGCCUUCUUCUAAUACAGGAGGGUCAUGACGGUACCGUAAGAAUAAGCACCGGCUAACUACGUGCCAGCAGCCGCGGUAA